rnacentral:rRNA from 1 species
CCUACGGGGAGCUGCAGUGGGGAAUAUUGGACAAUGGGGGGAACCCUGAUCCAGCCAUGCCGCGUGUGUGAAGAAGGCCCUCGGGUUGUAAAGCACUUUCAGUGAGGAAGAACGCCUGGUGGUUAAUACCCAUCAGGAAAGACAUCACUCACAGAAGAAGCACCGGCUAACUCCGUGCCAGCAGCCGCGGUAAUACGGAGGGUGCAAGCGUUAAUCGGAAUUACUGGGCGUAAAGCGCGCGUAGGUGGCUUGAUAAGCCGGUUGUGAAAGCCCCGGGCUCAACCUGGGAACGGCAUCCGGAACUGUCAAGCUAGAGUGCAGGAGAGGAAGGUAGAAUUCCCGGUGUAGCGGUGAAAUGCGUAGAGAUCGGGAGGAAUACCAGUGGCGAAGGCGGCCUUCUGGACUGACACUGACACUGAGGUGCGAAAGCGUGGGUAGCAAACAGGAUUAGAUACCCUUGUAGUC